rnacentral:tRNA from 1 species
GUGGGUAUAGUUCAGUGGUAGAGUGCACGCUUAGCAUAUAUGAGGUCCUGGGUUCAAUCCCCAGUACUGCCA